rnacentral:rRNA from 1 species
UAGUAGGGCGCCAGCGCGAAGCAGGGUAUGGGGGCGCGAAACAAGAGGACCAUAGGAAGCGUAAGAGGCCCACCAACCAUGACAGAGCACUGGGACUAAACGGACCCCCAAGCAACAUGGUUAGGGCACAGGGGUCUUCGGUUGGGGCGACCACGGGGGAAAGCAAAGCCCCCGAGAGGAUUGGGGGAAACCCUAAAACCAAGAGCCACAGCUCUAAGUCACAAAAUAUUUGACCAAUAAUGAUCCGGCUUGCUGCCGAUCAACGGACCAAGUUACCCUAGGGAUAACAGCGCAAUCCCCUCCCAGAGUCCAUAUCGACGAGGGGGUUUACGACCUCGAUGUUGGAUCAGGACAUCCUAAUGGUGCAGCCGCUAUUAAGGG